rnacentral:misc_RNA from 1 species
GUGAUUUCUAAGCAACUCUUUCUUUUUUUUUAAUUAGUUUUUAUCCCAAUUUCAAAUCCGAUUGUUGUUGGAUUUUAGGGUUUCUUCUGGUUCUAAUAAAAUUUCAACGGAAUUUUAGGGUGGGGAUUGGGAGGAGGUGUAGGAAAUUUCGAAUGACUUGUUUCUUUUGCAGUUUAGGUGAUCAUUUUCCAAGCUGUUAGUGUCAUAUGUGAUAUAUAAUAUAUUCUCUCAAUUUAAGCAUUGAAAUACCUCCGGUUCUUGAGCUCACUUGGAUGUAUUAAGUUUGAUUUUUUCUCCAUUAUUUUUGUACAUCUUUUAUCUGCUCCUUUGUGGAUUUUGUGCUCUUUGUUUCUCUAUUUCUAAUGUGUAUUUUAAUUAUCGUGCUCCAGAAAAAAGGGAAUAAUCCUUAUUUCCACGCUUCAACUUUACAAUAUUUGCUAUCGAACCCUUUAUGAGAAAUUAUUUAAUAUAGAAUCCUUUUUUUGGGGGGAUAAUAGAAUACUUGAAGUUUUUUAUUUGGUUCUGUUGAGUCCAAUUUUACCAUCAAAGUUGAUUUCCAACUAAGAUCUUGAGAGUUUUUUUUCCCCUAUUUUUUAAUCUUGAAAAGUAUGAUACUA